CUUUCACGCCGGGAUCCGGGUCCCGGUGCUUCUCGGUUCAUUCCCAGCUGGGUCCGGGCCCGGCCAGACUGGGUGGAAAUCUGGCUGACCUUGGUGGUCUGUCUUGGCCAGCUGGAGCAAAGGGAUGCCAGGGGACGGGUCUCGGUGCAGUGACUGCCAUUAGCUUGGGGCCGCAGAAAGUUUCUCCCCUUUCUCGGGCUCCUGCCAGGCCCUUGGCUUUCAGAGCCAGGCCCGAUUUCUAGAUAACAUUUAAGUUUGCAGAAAAGGGGAUGCCAAGUCACGGUGGUCACGGCUGUGGGAUGCAGCCUCUGAGAUUUGUAUUAAUUUUUGUGAGCCGGGGAAAGGCCUUGCUGCUUUCUCCGCCAGGACUGAUGUGUCUUCCCAAGAUGAAAGUGCCUGGUAAGGGCGAGGGGCCUCCCUGGGAAGGUCAUGAGCAUGUAAGGUAAUGGGGCCUAGACUGUGACUUUUGGCACGUUUAUGAGUGACAUCCCCCGGGAGGGCAAGGAUAACCAUUUGACCUGGUCUGUCAUAUUCAGGAAUAGACUUCAGUUUAGUUGUGGUAUUUUCUCCAAAAGAGAUUUGUGUAUAUAGCCCUAGAUAGUCUUGUCAAGAUUAAACCCAAUUUAAACUGUUAACUAUAAAAUAUUUUAGAAUUUUGUCUCAUUCUAGAAUGGCUUUAUUCGAAACAAAAAAAAAGGAAGAGUCCCAAGUUUCGUCUCAGUGAAACCUGCCAGUUCAACACUAUGAUUUAUUUUUCUUUUUUUCUUUAAUUUUUUUUUUUUUUAAGAGUAGGGUCUUGCUCUGUCGCUGGGUUUACAGGCAUAAGCCACCAAUCCCAAAUCCCGGGGCUAUGAUUUUUGAAAUCAUGUUCGUGAGAAGGCAGAGCACAUGUGUUGAGAGUCAGACUUUAAACCUGGGUUCAAAUCAUUAGUGCUUAAUCAUUGUAAAGCAGUUAGGAGGUUGCGUUCAACAUAGCAAUUAUCAAAGAAUGAAUGUAUAACUUUAAAGACCAAUGAUAUUUUAAACUUUUUUUUUUUUUUGAGAACGGAGUCUCACUCCGUUGCCCAGGCUGGAGUGCAAUGGCACGAUCUCAGCUCACUGCAACCUCCGCCUCCUGGAUUCAAGUGAUUCUCCUGCCUCAGCCUCCCCAGUAGCUGGGAUUAUAGGCAUGCGCCACCACGCCCGGCUAAUUUUGUAUUUUUAGUAUAGGCGGGGUUUCUCCAUGUUGGUCAGGCUGGUCUCAAACUCCCGACCUCAGGUGAUCCGCCCACCCAAAGUGGUGAUCGUCCUCCCAAAGCACUGGGAUUACAGGCAUGAGCCACCGCGCCUGGCCGAACUUUUUAAAUUUAUUUAUUACUAUUUUUUGAGACAGGGUCUCCCUCUGUUGCCCAGGCUGGAGUGCUGUCUCAGCUCACUGCAACCUCCGCUUCCCAUGUUUGACCAAUUCUGCCUCAGCCUCCUGAGUAGCUGGGACUGCAGGCGCCCACCACCACGCCUGGCUAAUUUUUGUAUUUUUAGUAGAGAUGGGGUUUCAUCAUGUUGGCCAGGCUGGUCUUGAACUCCUGGCCUCAAGCGGUGCUAGGCCAAAGUGCUAGGAUUACAGGUGUGAGCCACUGCACCCAGUGCCCCCAAAGUGCUAGGAUUACAGGUGUGAGCCACUGCACUCAGCCUUAAACAUUUUUUUAAUUAAAGCAACCUAAGGUAAAAUUUUUUAACCAAAUUUAACCCAUUCCCAAUCAGAUUGAAUAAAUGCCUAGCAGCUUAUGUGUUGUGCUAAAACACGAUAUAUUAUCUGCCAAUAAAAAACAGUAUUUUGUAUUUAUAUAGUUUUAUUACCAAGAAGCUUACUCAGCUUUAUGAUUUCCCCUUUGUAAUCUGAUUAACCUUCAUAGUAUCUUGAAGUAAUGUAUAGUGUAGCAAUCAGACACUUAGGUAGUGACUUCGUGAGCUCUGACAAUGAGUCAAUAUAAUGCAAGAGGCUAUGUAUGAAGUCCAACCUGGGUGCGUCCACACCACACCAAGAGGACAAGUUAAAAUUACCAUAUGGCCAAAAAUUAAUAUUUUCUGACUUAUUUUUGUUUACCAUUCCAACCAUAGUACUGUAUAAAAUGUUUGCUAUUCAUUAUAGACCCAGGAAUGGAAUAUUCCUAAUAUUAAAACAAAAAUUUCAACAGCUAUAGAAAAUGAAAGUGAGUGUGAGAUAGAGAUACUGGACAUAAUGUUCUAUAGGUUUUAAAAGACUUAAGUAGAAGAAAUGGAAACAAUGUCUUUACUUCUUGGCAGUGGAGUGGUAACAGCUAAUGGCUCUUUCUACCUGGCAUGCAGCUUCCUGUAACGACUAUUAUUAAUAGAGCCAGGCUGAUCGUGAGGCGCCAGAAAAGGUGUAUGGUGGAAUUUAACUACAAUGGCUUGUAUUGCCUGGAUAUACCCUUUGGUAUGCCUAUUUUACUAGAAAUGUUUGAAAAUAGGAAAAAGCUCACUCAAAAGAUAAGCUGCCAGUGGGACUUGAAGAGGCUCCCAUUACAUUCCUCUUCCCUGGAGAUGUUUUAUUCCCCUCCUCUCCUCCAGUGUUCAGUCUCAUGCUCAGCAUUGCAAGGGUUACAAAGGUGACUACUUAAGACACAGAGUUUGCCCUUGAAGAACUUGCAGGAUAACAAGGGCCAUAAGAAAGUAUUAAGUGUCGGCUGGGUUCGGUGGCUCACGCCUGUAAUCCAGCACUUUGGGAGGCCGAGGCGGGCGGAUCACGAGGUCAGCUGAUCAAGACCAUCCUGGCUAACACGGUGAAAUCCUGUCUACUAAAAAUACAAAAAAUUAGCUGGUCGUGGUGGCGGGGACCUAUAGUCCAAGCUACUCGAGAGGUUGAGGCAGGAGAAUCGUUUGAACCUGAGAGGCAGAGCUUGCAGUGAGCCGAGAUCACGCCACUGCACUCCAGCCUGGGUGACGGAGCAAGACUCAGUCUCAAAAAAAGAAAAGAAAAAAAAAACAACUUCCCAGCACUUGGGAGGCCGAGGUAGGUGGAUCACCUGAGGUCAGGAGUUUGAGAGCAGCCUGGGCAACAUAGUGAAAACUUGUCUCUACUAAUAACACAAAAAUUAGCCGAGUGUGGUGGUGGGCACCUGUAAUCCCAGCUACUUGGGAAGCUGAGGCAGGAGAAUCGCUUGCACCUGGGAGCAAGAGAUUGGGCCACUGCACUCCAGCCUGCACAACAGAGGGAGACUCUGUCUCAAAAAAAAAAAAAAAAAAAAAGUCCGGGCACGGUGGAUCACGCCUAUAAUCCCAGCACUUUGGGGGGCCGAGGCAGAUGGGUCAUGAGGUCAGGAGAUCGAGACCAUCCUGGCUAACAAGGUGAAAUCCCGUCUCUACUAAAAAUACAAAAAAUUAGCAUUAAGUAUCCUGAGAGAAGACCAGAUAAAAUGCUAUGAUUCAGCAUUAUUCCUAAAAUGGGUACCAGUUGAGCAAUACCUGCCAACUCUUAAUUUCUGCUUAAAUGCCCAACUGCAUAGUACAUGCUGUUAAAUUGAGGGGAUAGGUGAUAUCAUGUAAACCCAUGUCUUGUCCCUGCCAGCAAGGAAAUUGUGCUCUGUGACUUGACUUGGAAAGUAUGUAACUAAGACUGAGGAGAAUAAAUUGAUGUUUUCACCUCUCGUAUUUGCUUCUGAAGCAGAAAGUUUACUAAGCUAAAUCCUGAACUAGGAAUUAGUAAUACUAGUAAUAGCUAAUUGUUAAUAUAUAUACAGCUCUUAUAACAGUUUCUGGCAUAAUUACUAUACAAAUAUUAUUUCUUAUUCUUAUUGGGUGCUUACUGUAUGCCAGGCAAUGUUUUUAACCUCUUUAUGAGUUUUCACAAACCCCCUAGAAGUACUUGUAUUAUCCCCAUGAAGAAACAGGUCGAGAGAGUUUAAGUAAUCUGCUCAAGGUCAGAAAGUGAACAAAUGACAGGUCAGGCUUCAAACACAGACAGCCCAUGUGCUUGAACAGUGCUACUGGCCUCCCAGUACUUACUGAGGCCUACUCCUAUAAAAUUCUAUUGACUCCCUAAAGUGAUGGUGUAGGGAAUGCUAACUGAUGAUAAAGAAAAUAUGAAACACUGACAAAUCAUUUAGUGAGCAUUUCAUUAGUUAGUUGGCUUCCUCUUCUGUGACCUUGAAUUGAAACUCUACUGCAAACUAACUGGUUAGAGAAAAAUUUUAUUUGCAAAUAGUUUUAAAAGUUUCAAAGUAGGCCGGGCGCAGUGGCUCACGCCUGUAAUCCCAGCACUUUGGGAGGCUGAGGCGGGCGGAUCACAAGGUCAGGAGAUCGAGACCAUCCUGGCUAACAAGGUGAAACCCCGUCUCUACUAAAAAUACAAAAAAUUACCCGCGUGGUGGCAGGUGCCUGUAGUCCCAGCUACUCAGGAGGCUGAGGCAGGAGAACGGUGUGAACCUGGGAGGUGGAGCUUGCAGCGAGCUGAGGCUGUGCAGCUGCACUCCAGCCUGGGCGACAGAGUGAGACUCC
rnacentral:lncRNA from 1 species